GCCCCCUUGGUGUAGUUGGUUAUCACGCGAGUCUCAUAGUCAUCUAUGACGGUCUAAACGACCGAUGCGAUCUCGAGGCCAUCAGUUCGAUCCUGAUAGGAGGCA